rnacentral:rRNA from 1 species
CAGUAGGGAAUCUUCGGCAAUGGGGGCAACCCUGACCGAGCAACGCCGCGUGAGUGAAGAAGGUUUUCGGAUCGUAAAGCUCUGUUGUAAGAGAAGAACGUGUGUGAGAGUGGAAAGUUCACACAGUGACGGUAACUUACCAGAAAGGGACGGCUAACUACGUGCNG